rnacentral:rRNA from 1 species
UACGAAGGGGGGCUAGCGUUGCUCGGAAUCACUGGGCGUAAAGGGUGCGCAGGCGGCUCCGCAUGUCGGGCGUGAAAUCCCCGGGCUUAACCUGGGAAUUGCGUCCGAAACUAUGGAGCUGGAGUGUGGCAGAGGGAGGUGGAAUUCCACGUGUAGCAGUGAAAUUCGUAGAUAUUAGGAAGAACACCGGUGGCGAAGGCGGCCCACUGGCUCGAUACUGACGCUGAGGUGCGAAAGCGUGGGUAGCGAACAGG